rnacentral:tRNA from 1 species
UCCCUGGUGGUCCAGUGGUUAGGACUUUGCUCUUUCACUGCCAAGGGCCCAAGUUCAGUCCAUGGUUGGGGAA